rnacentral:tRNA from 1 species
GGAGGGGUGGCCGAGCGGCCAAUGGCGGUGGUCUUGAAAACCACUGACGGGAAACCGUCCGGGGGUUCGAAUCCCUCCCCCUCCGCCA